GUGCAAGUGAAAUGCAAGCUGAAAACACAAAAGGCAGGGAGACGAGGCAGUUCUGAAACUAGGUUAGAGAUUAAACGAGCCUGAUAUUUGGCAGUUGUAGGCAAGGUUGGAUUACCCUGGGGAAAGGGCUUGAAAUGAUUAAUGGAAUGGUGUUAUUAGCCUAUCAUGGGAUUGCAUUACUGCUUGAAUUCUGAAGACAGAAAUUGAGAGGAGCUGUGUGGGUGUGAAUGAUGUGCUGUGGAAGAGAGAGCACAAGAGCAGUGCUUCCCAAAAGGGUGCUGGGACAUAACACUGCAGUACUGGACCUUACUGGUGGAGCAGGGUGCUGGGAUCUCACAAGGCUUCCAGGGACAGGCUCUGAGGAGUCCACCAUCGGAGUACUGAGUGGCGUGGGAUGACAUUUCAGAGCGAGUCACCUAUUUUCGCAAAGCUUGUAGGCGCUUUGUGUCAGCAAGACUUCAACUCCUCUGCCAAAGCUAGGGGAGAUUGGCCAAAGGGUUCUAAUGUUUCUUGGAGUGGGGAUGCUGGAUUGGCUGUGAUACCCUUCUCACUUAUUUGUUCUUCAAACCACGCUGCACAAGCCUUGCAUCUUAAGAGACGAAGCUAAAAGCCACGAGUCUACAUAUUUCAGCCUUUAUUUUUGGAGGCACCUAGGGUUGCAUUUUCCAUCUGUUUCUCCACAGCUGAGCUGGCUAACAUUUUGUUUCUCAGUUUGCACUGGAGCUGGGUUCUUAGCAUUUUGCUAUGGAGAUUGGAAUCAUAUCAGUAGCAUCUCUUCCUGAGUGCAUCAGCUCUGACCACACCAGGUGGGAUGAGACCCACAGCAUCUGCUGUGGGUUUAUUAUAGCUCUGCCUGCUUACACAGAAUGGAUGUAGACCGGCAUGUAUUCAACUUCACCAAGGGCCUAUUCUGGAUAACCAAGUGUAGCUGCCUAUUUUUCUGUCACAAAAACAUGCAUCUGAAUUCAUGUUUUCACCUGGAGGGCUCAAGAAAGGGGGAGAGCAGGUCGAUCUGACCAGAUGAGUUGUCAAGAUGUCCAUCCAUCUCCCCUAAGCCACAGUUUUGUAGGCUCAGACACAGAACUGGGGCUGCAGGAAUGAAUGCUUGCACAACGCAGAUUCAAGCCCGGGGGAGGUUUUCUGUCUAAGCAGAAAAAAACAGCUUAAAAAAUAUUUUCUAUGUAUUUGUAACAUUCUGCAAGGAGAGUUUUGUCUCUUUUGCUUCACCAAUGAAUGCAGACAACUAUCUUCUUACAUUUUUGGUAUUAAAAAAAUAAAGAGUGAAACAGUGUUUUUCCAUUAGUACUUCC
ensembl:lncRNA